GGGGAGCUUGCACAGGUGCUGCAUGGCUGUCGUCAGCUCGUGUCGUGAGAUGUCGGUUAAGUCCGCUAACGAGCGCAACCCUCGCUGUGUGUUAUAUGUGUCACACGGGACUGCCGGUCUUAAGCCGGAGGAAGGUGGGGAUGAUGUCAAGUCAGCAUGGCCUUUAUAUCCUGGGCUACACACACGCUACAAUGGCCAACACAAUAGGUUGCUAAGCCGCGAGGUGGCGCCAAUCCAUAAAGUUGGUCUCAGUUCAGAUUGUAGGCUGCAACCCGCCUGCAUGAAGAUGGAGUUGCUAGUAACCGCAGGUCAGCUAUACUGCGGUGAAUACGUUCCCGGGGCUU
rnacentral:rRNA from 1 species